rnacentral:lncRNA from 1 species
GGGAUUCUAGUCAUGCGUUAGGGUCUUGACUCAUGACAUCAAUAAGAAUGCUGAUAAUGUGUCACUAUCAGGUGCCUAUACUACAACUCUUCCCGAAGAAAGGCAGAAAGAGAGACACACUAAUGACCUUAGCGGUAGCUUACUACAAGCUGCAACUCACAGAAGAGCAACUAUUAUGAAUAUCUUUGUAUAUCAACAGUUCUUCAAACCAUACAGACAGAAUUGAGUUGCUGGGGAGUUUGUUCCACCGCUUCUGCUGCUGAUUUUCAGCCUAUUUUGAAUAAAUGACUUUAUCUGUA